rnacentral:lncRNA from 1 species
AGAAGCUGUGGAAAGAAAACUGAAGUGGAAGGCGGGGAACCUGAGAUAGAGGCGAGGGAACCACAGAGAAGCGAACUGGUGGAGUCUCUUUCAUUGCAGGGAUCUUAUGCUGGCAAAAUCCAUUCCAUUGGUGAUGCCUUCAGAAAUUUUAAAAAUCUCCGAUCCUUAGAUUUAUCAAGGAAUUUGAUCACUAGCCUUAAGGGAAUCCAGUAUUUAUGUUCACUCCAAGACCUGAAUUUAUAUUAUAACAACAUUCCUUCAUUAGUGGAAGUGUCCCGUCUACAACCGUUACCCUUCCUCAAAGAACUGGAUUUGAGACUUAAUCCUGUUGUAAGGAAAGAUACAGAUUAUAGGCUCUUUGCUGUAUAUACACUACAAACUCUGGAGAAAUUAGAUGACCGAACUGUACGUGAAGGUGAGAGAAAAGCUGCCAAGCUGCAUUUUAGUCAGUUGGGCAACAGUGAAAAUUUUCUUUUAGAGGUGGAAAAAAGCUCUAGGGAGAAGACAAUGAAAAACUGUGUAACAGGUGAGAGCUCUGCAUCAAAAGUCAGUGCUAAUGUUGACAGCAGGAUUGAAAUGGACUCAAACAAAGGACU